rnacentral:rRNA from 1 species
GACGGGGCCGCACAAGCGGAGGAACAUGUGGUUAAUCGAUGAUACGCGAGGAACCUUACCUGGGCUUAAAUGUAGAGUGCAUUUUUAGAGAUAGAAAUUCCCUUCGGGGCUUUCUGCAAGGUGCUGCAUGGUUGUCGUCAGCUCGUGCCGUGAGGUGUCGGGUUAAGUCCCAUAACGAGCGCAACCCUUAUCGUUAGUUGCCAUCUGGUAAUGCAGGGGACUCUAGCGAAACUGCCACCGUAAGGUGAGAGGAAGGUGGGGAUGACGUCAAAUCAGCACGGCCCUUAUGUCCAGGGCUACACACGUGUUACAAUGGUCGGUACAGAGGGCAGCUACCUGGUGACAGGAUGCUAAUCUCGAAAACCGGUCUCAGUUCGGAUCGAAGUCUGCAACUCGACUUCGUGAAGCUGGAUUCGCUAGUAAUCGCGCAUCAGCUAUGGCGCGGUGAAUACGUUCCCGGGCCUU